rnacentral:lncRNA from 1 species
UUGUAAAAGGGUUUGCAGCUCUGGCAGUGCUCCUCCUGUGGGCAGUAUUGCCUUGGUGUGCUUUUAUUUUCCUUCACAUCGGAGCACAAACAAAGGCUGUGGUCCAAACAGUCGAUCUCUUCCUUUUUUACAGCCUGUGGCUCUUCCUUGAUCUUUGUGUCUGCUGCUUGUAUUAACUGCCUUGUUGUCCCUUGCUGCACGUUCUGGCCAGUAAGUGGUGCUCCCCCCUUCCUUCCUACAGCUCUAUUCUUUGCUCAGAGCUGAGUGCUGUCAUACAUUGCUGUUCCUUUCAGGUAUGUCUCACCCAGACGCUGCGUCAUACUUCGAUGUAGUGUAUUGAUACAAUAAUGGUAUUUCUAAUGUGAGCCCUAAUGGUGUAUUUUUAAUUAUAGUACUUCCUGGCAUUGCCUGUUGUCCAUACUGGAGAUUUUACGUACAAUUACAGAGAUGCUUGAAUAGGUUCCUCUGAUACGGGCCCCAACUGGGGGCAUAAUGUUGAAAGUGAAGAGGAGUGUUAUGUUGCUGACAUGGCUAUCUUAGGGUGCGAAGUGGGUUUGUCACAAUGGGACACCAGCCUUCCUUUUCCCUUGACCAACCACCUCAUGAGAACCAAUGCUAAGCCAAUGAAGUUUUGGGCAUGCUGCUUGUUUUGGCUGGGACAGAUCUGAUCUCCAGAACUGUGUGCAGAGCUGGGAAGGAGUAAGGUGAAAACAGAGGAAUGUUCCCAGACCAAUCUUUGUAGAAGCAGCAGUUCCUCAACACAAACCAUUUGUCUCUGGGAUGAAAUUCAAGAAUGUUAACCCUGUGUGUGCUCUGUGGGCUACACAGCACCUCCUGUAGGAACAACACUUAAUGGAGACUUGUUCGGUGGAGCAAGCUGCCUUGUGUUGAGGACCUUGCAGAUAGCUGGAACUGUAACCCACUUCUUUCCUCGUGAAUGCAUUGAUGAUAAGGUCCAGUACAACAAAUUCCAAGUCCUCCUCUAUGUCUGGACAAAGAGGCCAGACACCGCUGUUUCCAGAGAAGAAUGUGCCCAAAACAGAAGAGCUGGUCACUUGGGAAGAAUUGCCUUUUGUCGUAGCUGACAGGUACGUGGCUUCUGUUAUCUGCACAUGCAAAUCAGGGGCAGGAGAGGCUUUUAGCAUAGUUGGUGGAGGUGGGCUUCAUGCUUAUUCACUGUCACUCAUACACUUACCUCUACCGCUUUGCUUUUCUUUAAGUCAUAGAGCCCAUUUGUGUCCCGAGGCUCAAGCUCCAUCAUCUUUUGCCCCAUGUAGAGGGACAGCUGUAUGGCACUGA